AGGUGGUGCAUGGUUGUCGUCAGCUCGUGUCGUGAGAUGUUGGGUUAAGUCCCGCAACGAGCGCAACCCUCGUUCUAUGUUGCCAGCACGUGAUGGUGGGGACUCAUAGGAGACUGCCGGGGUCAACUCGGAGGAAGGUGGGGAUGAGGUCAAAUCAUCAUGCCCCUUAUGUCUUGGGCUUCACACAUGCUACAAUGGCCGGUACAAAGGGCUGCGAUACCGCGAGGUGGAGCGAAUCCCAAAAAACCGGUCUCAGUUCGGAUUGGGGUCUGCAACUCGACCCCAUGAAGUUGGAGUCGCUAGUAAUCGCAGAUCAGCAACGCUGCGGUGAAUACGUUCCCGGGCCUUGUACACACCGCCCGUCAAGUCACGAAAGUCGGUAACACCCGAAGCCGGUGGCCCAACCCUUGUGGAGGGAGCCGUCGAAGGUGGGACUGGCGAUUGGGACUU
rnacentral:rRNA from 1 species